GCCGCCGUUGCUGGAGUUCAGCUUAGGGAAGGAGGACUCUGAGGAGGCCCCGAGCGGCGGAGCGCUUCGGGGGAGGCGCCCGCGCAGACGCGAGGCCCAUAGCCAGGACCACCACCUAGCUGUCUGGGGACGACGGUUUAAAAAUUUAUGCCUUGCAUGCGAUGUGCAGUGGGUGAUGGAAGAACGUCUACAUGGCUUUAAAAUUGGAUUUAAAAGGCAAAUAUUUUAAAUGAAGGAAAACCCAAGAAGUUUACUUGAUUCCUUAUCUUCCAGGAUGCGACUUUUGUUUAUUUAUUUAUUUUAUUUUGAUGGAGUCUCGCUGCCGUCGCGCAGGCUGGAGUGCAGUGACGCGAUCUUGACCCGGGAACCUCCACCUCCCGGGUUCAAGCGAUUCUCCUUCCUCAACCACCCGAGUAGCUGGGAUUACAGGCGUGUGCCACCAUGCCCGGCUAAUUUUUGUGUUUUUAGUAGAGACCGGGGAAGGUAUGGGCCCUCUUUUGAGAAAAAUGCAGAGUGACACUGAAUUUUGUAACUACAUCAGGAGGCUCUUGAACCUUCUGCAGCUCACUCGUGGAGUUUGUAGAGAUGCGUAAUAAUCCGAAGUGUUAAGGAAGAAGGUUCUGUUGAGAAAAAGUUGGAGGGCUGAAAGGGAUGCCUUUCGCUAUUUCGACAUGUGUGGCUGUACCCCAGAGUGCCCUGGCUAACACGCAAAACCAUGAAUUAGGCGGCUUGGCGAGGCUCAGUGGAGGCUGGGGCCGAGAGUCAUGUCAAAGUUUGUGGGGUUAACCUGCACCCAGUGACAGUCAUGGCGAAGUUUGUGAGGUUAACUCGCACCCAGUAACGCUGUUCCAAUGCAAGGUGUGUAUUUGGUGUCAUCCACGGGAAGAGGAAACAGCAAAUUUUCUCAUGGCCUUGGCAGUUCCACAUGAUGGACAUUUCAUAUCUGCAGUUUUCUUCGCAUGAGAUGGCUUUUUUGCACAAAAACACUGGAAUCCAGUGAGCAAGAAUGAUAGAAUGCAAGAUGGAUUUCCACAUGAGGAAGUGUCACGAACAAGCGUUUUGCAUCUCUGUCAGCUGGAUUCCCCCAUGUGUACGUAUGUGAGAACAUGCCGUGUUUCCUGUCUGUAAUGGUAGAGGCAGCCCUGAUACUGGAUUUUCACCUGAGGAUGGAUAGAUCUUCAGGGUUCAAGUGGGUUUGCAUCUGGACUUUAGGGUGGCCCUGUAGGCCCUGUGUGAGAAGCCCCCUUCCCAGUGAACUUUCCCUUGUGUGCCCGCGUGGACAGCCAACAGGGGGAGCAGUGCGAGCGUGAAGGCAGACAGUGGCCUGGCCCAGUCUGAUGGGAGAGACCCACCGACCCUGUGGGGCUGGUCCCUACAUCUGGCGCUCUGACGUGGGGCUCUCCCUCGCUGUGUGAAGUUGCACCCUGAGUGCGGGAUCAGCGGAGGAGUUCAACGAGAGAUUCCUGAGGAUUGCAGUCUAUAAACUUGGUGGAAAAGAACUACAGCCUGUGUGGGUCCCCUCCCGACAAUUAAAAUUGCACCAUAACUCCAAAGAUGAAACGCUCCCAGAAAGAAAAGGCAAAGACCCAUCGGAAACAAAAGAGCAACUUUCACCGCCUGAUACAUACACUUCAUGACAUCCACAUUGAGACAAAAUCUCGCCGUGUGACCUACAACACCUCUCGUUCAACCCCACCUACUUGGGGUCGAAUACAGAUUUUAUCUCAUCAAACAGAAAAAUUCUUAACAGAAAAAGGAAUCCCAAAAAUGACUGGUAAUAUAAUUCUGGCUGCCUUUAUGGUAGUCAGUGCAGCGGUAAGUAUACCACCGGUCGGGGCAACUCAAAAUUAUACUUAUUGGGCAUAUGUUCCUUUUCCCCUUCUAAUUCGGUCUGUCUCCUGGAGGGACUCUCCAGUAGAAGUUUACACUAAUAAUAGUGCAUUCAUGCCGAUCCCUAAUGAUGAUCGGUUUCCAGCUCAACCGGAAGAAGAAGGUAUGCACUUUAAUCUGUCAAUUGGCUAUAAAUAUCCACCAUUAUGUAUUGGGAAGUCGCCUGGUUGUUUAGCUUAUUCUUAACAGAAUUGGAUGUGGACUGUACCGUCCUUUACAAAUGAUUCUUAUCAAGUAUAUAAUGUGUUCAGUACUAACUCUUUUCAACUUCUCACUGUCAAACGUACCCCACAUGAGGCAUGGAGAGUUCCUCUCACUACCAAAACUAAUAAAACAAAAGGACUGCCGGACUGUCCAAAGAAACCUACAAAUGGGCCUUUUAUAGUGACUUCAAUUUUAUGGGAUAAUUGUAAUGCUCCCAAGGCUGUUGUACUCCAAACUCUAGCCAUGGGUAUUGUUAUUGAUUGGGCUCCAAAAGGACAUUAUUGGCAAGAUUGCUCCAGCAAAAAUACCUUAUGCUCGGAGUUUAUUUAUUCCUUAGAUUAUAUAGAGCAUGGGUGGCAGUCUUACACGAUGAGACAACGGGUGUCUCCUUACCCAUUUAAAUGGAUGGACACAGGUAUUGCUCCUCCUAGACCAAAAAUUAUUCAUCCCUUUUUUACCCCAGAACAUCCUGAACUAUGGAAAUUAGCUGCAGCUUUGUCGGGAAUAAAGAUAUGGAACACUACCUAUCAGCUCCUUCGUACUAAAACCAAAACACCCACAUUCAACAUCACCCUUAUUUCUGAAUGGGUGAUACCCAUUAGGAGCUGUGUCAAACCCCCUUACAUGCUGUUGGUUGGAAAUAUAAUUAUGAUGCCUGAUGCACAAACUAUAGAAUGUCAUAACUGUAAGCUGUUCACUUGCAUUGAUGCAACUUUUAAUCCCACUACAAGUAUUCUCUUGGUAAGGGCUAGGGAGGGGGUAUGGAUACCAGUUUCUCUACAUCGUCCAUGGGAGUCUUCCCCCUCUAUUCACAUAGUCAAUGAAGUUCUUAAAGACAUCCUCAAAAGAACAAAGAGAUUUAUUUUUACUCUUAUUGCAGUCCUUGCAGGACUACUUGCGGUUACUGCAACAGCAGCAACUGCUGGAGUUGCCAUCCGCAGUUCUGUUCAAACUGCUCACUAUGUUGAAGCAUGCCAGAAAAAUUCCUCCAGACUUUGGAAUUCUCAGGCGCAAAUUGAUCAAAAAUUAGCUAAUCAGAUUAAUGAUCUCCGCCAAAGUGUAACCUGGCUGGGAGAUAGAGUUAUGAACUUGCAACACCGUAUGCAAUUACAGUGUGAUUGGAAUACUUCUGAUUAUUGCAUAACGCCUUAUGCUUAUAAUCAAGAUCAACAUAGCUGGGAAAAUGUCUCAAGACAUUUAAAAGCCUGGGAUGAUAACUUAACCUUGGAUAUUUCACAACUUAAAGAGCAAAUCUUUGAGGCUUCACAAGCCCAUUUAUCCACAGUUCCUGGCUCACACAUUUUUGAAGGCAUAACUAAACAAUUACCUGAUUUUAAUCCCUUCAAAUGGCUCAAACCCGUCAGAGGAUCAUUGUUGUUACUGGCAUUAUUAAUAUUGGUAUGCUUAUGUUGUCUCCUUUUAGUCUGCAGAUGCCUCUAAGGAGUCCGAAACCAAGUCCGAAGUCAACAACAAGCAAUGAUGGCGAUGGCGAUUCUAGUUAAUAAAAAGGGGGGAGAUGUGGGCGGCAAGCCACCCAGGCACCGAGGCAAGAGACAGAGGACACGAGCUGUUCCAGUAUAAUAAAAUAUAAAACAAGAAUAGUUAUACCAGAUAUAGAUCUUAGAUAUGAUUAUAUACGAAUAUCAUUAAUCAUGAGUUUGUAGCAAUUACUUUUUAUUCCAAUAUUAUGAUAAUCCUCGCUCUAUAAUCAUAGCCUAGGAAAAACCAGGCCAUACAGAGAUAGGAGCUGAGGGGACAUAGUGAAGUGUGACCAGAAGACAAGAGUGCGAGCCUUCUGUUAUGCCCGGACAGGGCCACCAGAGGGCUCCUUGGUCUAGCGGUGACGCCAGCGUCUGGGAAGACACCCGUUACCAGGCGGAUCGUGGCCCAGCCGUAGCAAAAGGUGUCAAGGAACACCUUUUGCAAAAGGUGUCAACACCCGCUACUUAGCAGACUGGGAAAGGGGGGCGGUCUCCCUUUCCCCGGGGGAGUUUAGAGAAGACUCUGUUCCUCCACCUCUUGUGGAGGGCCUGACAUCAGUCAGGCUUGCCCGUAGUUAUCCGGAGGCCUAACUGUCUCCCUGUGAUGCUGUGCUUCAGUGGUCACGCUCCUAGUCUGCCUUCAUUUUCCAUCCUGUACACCUGGCUCUGCCUUCUAGAUAGCAGUAGUAAAUUAGUGAAAAUACUAAUAGUCCCUGAUAUGCAGAAAUAAUGGCAUAAGCUGUCUUUCUCUCUGUCUCCUCUCCCUCUCUGCCUCGGCUGCCAGGCAGGGAAGGGCCCCCUGUCCAGUGGACACAUGACCCAUGUGACCUUACCUAUCAUUGGAGGUGACUCACAUUCUUUACCCUGCCCCUUCUGCCUUGUAUCCAAUAACAGCGCAGUCAGACAUUCAGGGCCACUACCGGUCUCCGCACAUUGGUGGUAGUGGUCCCCCGGGCCCAGCUGCCUUUUCUCUUAUCUCGUUGUCUUGUGUCUUUAUUUCUACACUCUCUCAUCGCCACACACAGGGAGAGACCCACCGACCCUGUGGGGCUGGUCCCUACAAGAGGGAAGUGGUUUGUUCUGCUCUUCUGAGAUGUGUUCUUAUGAGAAGGAUCCAGCAGCAGCCUGCAGAGAUGUGGGGCCUGAAAAGAGGCCUUGGGCAGCUCUUCUCAACAGGUCUUGGCCCUCUAGACUGCCUUCAGCACAGUUUUGGGGAGAAACAGGGAGUGUUCCUUUUUCAAUCUAUGCGCUCAUCCCCUGAGCCGCCUGACCCAGGGUUUAGAUGCUCCAGGGCAGCUGAUUGACACCGGUGGGAGAUGGAGUCUGGCAAGCAGGUGAUGAACUGGGAAGCGCUGCAGAAAUGAGGGGGCAAGCGUGGCCAGUCCCUUCUGAGAGGAUGUGUUUGGAAGAGAGUGGGCACUGGCGUGGCACUUUCCCCUUCUGUGGAAAUGGACUUGGACAGGAUGCCACGUAGUGCUGCAGUUCUGUGUGGGGCAGGUUGUGGCUGCAGAGAAGCACUGGGUGCAGAAACAGUCCCCCAAGCAGGUGCGAGGGUCAGGGUGCUCUAUGCUGCUCCACACCUGCCGUGCGAUGACAUGUGGUCACCGGGCUGCCCAGCACAGUUGUUUAGAAAGCAGGUUCAAAGGGCAGUGUGCUGGGAGGAAGUGCUGCUGUGGAAACUGCAAGUUUUGGACAUGAGUUGCUCAGGUCUUUUCAGCCGUUCAUUCUUCUACAACAGAAUUGCAUUAUUCACUUGCUCAGUGUGAUACCAUGUCCUUUAAAAAAUUAUUUGAAUAUUGAGAACAGGUUGUAUGUUCCGUCUCUAGCUGCUAGAUCACAGGCAGGGCACAUCUUCUCAAAGAGUAACAAGGCAUGGGUUGUGUGUGUUCUCUUCUCUUAGUGAGGAGAAAGGCCUGUUUGGGUUCAUGAUGAUUGUUGGGGUCUCUUUUCUGUACCUGAUGUUGGUUGCACAAAGUCCGUUUCCAUUCUCUUAGUCUAGACAAUUUUCCUGAUAUUUAAACUGGAAUUUUUGCUCCAAGAAAUUCCAGGUCAUUUAGAAUGUGUUAAGAUUGAGUUUCUGGGCUACACAUCCUUAUAAGAGCACCCGAUUCUGGUUUCUGUUUAUUUAUUUAUUUUUUCGAGACAGUCUCGUUCUGUCACGCAGGCUGGAGUACAGUGGCAUGAUUUUGGCUCACUGCAACCUCUGCCUCAUGGGUUCAAGUGAUUCUCGUGCUUCAGGCUCCCAAGUAGCUGGGAUUACAGGUGCG
rnacentral:lncRNA from 1 species